rnacentral:rRNA from 1 species
AGCGAACGCUGGCGGCAGGCUUAACACAUGCCAGUCGAGCGGGCAUCUUCGGAUGUCAGCGGCAGACGGGUGAGUAACACGUGGGAACGUACCCUUCGGUUCGGAACAACUCUGGGAAACUGGAGCUAAUACCGGAUACGCCCUUAUGGGGAAAGGUUUACUGCCGAAGGAUCGGCCCGCGUCUGAUUAGCUAGUUGGUGGGGUAACGGCCUACCAAGGCGACGAUCAGUAGCUGGUCUGAGAGGAUGAUCAGCCACACUGGGACUGAGACACGGCCCAGACCCCUACGGGAGGCAGCAGUGGGGAAUAUUGGACAAUGGGCGCAAGCCUGAUCCAGCCAUGCCGCGUGAGUGAUGAAGGCCUUAGGGUUGUAAAGCUCUUUUGUCCGGGACGAUAAUGACGGUACCGGAAGAAUAAGCCCCGGCUAACUUCGUG